rfam:Oryza rufipogon genomic scaffold, chr01
UUCAAGUGAAUCCAUAAGUUUCCGCAUUCAACUUUGAUCGUCCGUCUUAUUUGAAAUUUUUUAUAAUUAAUAUUUUUGUUGUUAUGAGAUGAUAAAACAUGAAUAGUACUUUACUCGUGACUUAUUUUUUUAUUUUUUUAAAACAAAUUUCAAACAAGACGGACGGUUAAAGUUAGACGUGGAAAACCAUGGCUACACAUAAA